AAAUAUUAUUUAGUAUAUAAGAUUUUAUUAUUUCUAAGAAUAAUUCUAUUUUUAACUGUGGUAACCGUCUACGAAUGCAGUUGCAAUAUUUGAUUGGCUGCGUUCAAAUGCAAUUUUUUGGGAAAAUACUCCUUAGUAUAAUCUCUGUAUAGGUUCAAACCAGGCUUUGUAAAAACAAAUUGGGAUUACAAUUUGUAUGUAAGAUAGAAUUGGUAGGUUAUAAAAUUAAGCUUAGUGAAAUAAAAUUAUACAGCUGAUAAUAAUUUAUUAUUUUAGGAAUAGUCAUAGUUUGGAACUAUUUUUCAUACUGCUUCUUCCAAGGACUUGUGCUCCUUGUAUAGUGUAAGUUUACUAUACUAUCAAAACAAAUCCUAGUUUUUAGAUUUUUAUCAAGUGAACCAAUACAUUAGAUUUGAUUCAUUUGCUUUUAAUAGUGUGUUAGGAAUUAGGAAGCAUGCUUCUAAUUGUAAUGUUGAUUGAUAAUAAAGAUUUUGACAUAAAAUAAUUUUAUGUUACACUUUAUACACAUUUUUCCUAGCCAAAAUCCAGCAAAUAAAAUUUUGAACGCCACUUCAAUUCAAUUUAUCGUUCAUCUACUUCACUAAAAUAACAAAGUUAACGCACCAGAUAUAGUCUUGCUAUCAAAUAUGUGAGGAGCAGAGGUUAAUAUUUUAACAACCCAUCCCGCCCUCUAAAACAAAAGUUAAAAUACCCGCUAUCAAAUAUACAUUUUUAGAUUUUGACAAUUUUUUUUGGAUUAGAAAAUAGGACUUUGGCCAUACGUCAACACAAAUCCCGUGUUUUUCGGAUUGAACACACAAAAUAUGUUGGAAAAGGCUUGAAAUUAAAAAAAAAAAAGGUCUGGAUUCUUAACAGUAGGUAAUUUCAUGUGAAGGUAUGCUUGAAAGGCACCAACUUUUUUAUUUUGAGUGGAAACACUGAUCGUGCAUGUGAUUUCAAUUUAAGAGUAAAUACUGCUAGAAGUAGUGGAACGGAACGCUAAAAUUCCAUUUUUAGUAUUCAAGCUUUAUAAAUAAAUCGCGUUCUAUUCUGCAUUCUGUUAAUCGAACGUACGUUUCGCUGAAUGCUGUGAAAUUUCGCGUCCCGGUUCACAAACCGGUUGAAAUAUUAAUAGACAUUUCUUAGUUGACGAGUGCUUGAGUCACUCAUAUUAUAUUAUACUGUCUAUAUGAUUCAUAUAAUAUGAGUCAUAUAGUAUAAUAUAUUUAGCUAUGGUCUGAGUCAAAAUUAGAUUCAAAUUUUCCAGGCCUUGCUAAACACUGAAACCGUCCCGGCCCUCAGUUUUAAUUUUUAUCUAUAUCCACAUUGGGAUUUGGGCCCACACAAUCCGUUUCGCAUAGGCCCCAGCUAUGGCUAAGACCAGCCCUUUCUUAGUCAAACCUGUUCCAGAAAAUUUAAUCAAAAACAUAUUAUGUCUCCGGUCUCCCCUAGUUAAUAAAUAUAAUUAAAGAUUUAAAAAAAUUAUUGGUUAGGUAUUUGUAAAUUAAUUGUGAAUACGUUUUCUUUUUGAUGACUCAACACUCUUUUAAUUAUUAAUAAGAGAGUAAUCAUUUAUUUAGUAAUUAACAAGAAUGGAAUUUAAUACUGUACUAGAACACAUUGUGUAUUUUUACAAGUUAUAAUAUAUCAUGUAACAUGUUUAGUGCCUAUAGUUUAGUAUUAUUAAAAUAUUCCAUGUUGCACGAUAAAGCAAUUCAAGGUAUCACAACAAAUUACAUUUCUGUAGUGUAUUAAUGUAGUGUAUUGCGAACACUACCCACCAGACGAAAGUAACGGACCGGAGUGAAGCCAAUAAGAAUACCUUUCGUUUGGGGGUACAAUCAUAUACUAAUAUAUUUUCUGUAAGGGAUUAAUACUAAAAAGGACGUACAUAGCCAAGGCUACAAAAACGUAUAAACAUGUAAAAUCUACUUAAUAAAAAGUCAGGUAUCUAAAUUUUGCUGGAAAAUAAUUGGGAUGGCUUAUGGAUUUGAGAAAUCCAGGAUUUCUCAAAUCCUGGAUUCAUGGAUGGUCGAAGACAGAAUACAAAAACCCAUAAGGAAAAAUAAUCAUAACAUAAAGCAGGGAGUACUACCUAUAGUACUCCCUGCAUAAAGACCG
rnacentral:lncRNA from 1 species